GGAAGUGGCGUAGCUUAAUGGUAGAGCACCUGCCUUGGAUGCAGAAGGUCCUGGGUUCAAUCCCCAGCUUUUCCA